UUAAAGAGCACCUAUUAUGGGAUACACGUUUUUAAACAUCCUUUUGUGUGUAAGUGUGCAUUAGUACAUGCUAACGAUAUUCAAAAAGUACAUACCUCAAAGAAAACGAUGACGCGAGUUAUCGUCUCUAACGUUCGAGGACUACAAAAAACACUCGGAUUGUAGGCAACAGUUUACUUCCUGGGAUUAGUGACGUAGAUAAGACCAACAUUAUCAUAGUUCAGCCCUCUCUGCUUUGCUUGGGUACGCCCUCAAAGACGAGGGUGGGGAGCGCCGAGUCAGAAGAGAGCUAAAAUGGCGGAGGUUGUGAGUCCCUGCUUUUACUCUGUUUGCAAACUCUUGUUUCAUCGUUUAAGCGAUUAAAUCUCUCGAGUAGACACUGUCUCUUUAGAUGCGAGGGCAAAAUAGCACAUUAUGGACUUCCACAGAGGACAUCAUGUUUAAUACGGUUCCGGAAAAAUCCAGUCAGAAGUUGUUCACGGAGUUUUCACAAUAACUGCUUCUCAUGAACCGAAGCUGGAUUUGCGCGACGUCUCCUCUUGAAAGUUGGAUUACUGUGCACUUCUGGAUCACAGACUAUUCGCAGCUGGACACAUCCUUCUACACUGUAUGCAAACAUGCAACAUCAUUACACACAGUAUAAGGAGUCAGACUGGCAUAUGAGGAGCAAAGGAACCCAGGCAGUAGCAUCGUUUCACAAUGUUUCCAUCAUCAUCAUCAGUGGAUGCCUUUGCUGUCCGUAGCCUGAGAUUUCAGAUUUGCAGCAAAAAAAAUUGAUUUUCUCAUUUAUUGGAAUGCUGUGCAGGUAUUUGUACCUUGCAGCCAUCCAUUACAAUGUCACCAAGCCCUAACAAAAGCAGGAGAGGGAAAGUACAAGGCUAUGUUCCCAAAACACAAAUGACAUACCUUAUGUGGAGGAUGUGAUCAGGCUUGUGUUUGAUGAGGUAUUUGAAGAUAAGCUGAAGGAAACCCCGAUUCCAAUGGACCUGGCAUCACAGUUUGAGAGACCUUCAAAGGAGGACGUGAUUGCAUGCCAUCUUCAGUGCAGGGGUCGUCGAAAGCCAAAAUUGUGACCGAUCUGAUCAGGAAGCUCCAAGCGUAUCUGGAGAACAACACACGACAGGAUGAUAACCUUAUAGUGUCGUCUUAGAUAGCACCAGCUGACAAAGCUUUGAUAUGCCAUUUAUCUGAAUAGAUAGCUGUAAGAAAUGAAUUGAACAAUUUUUGAAACAAGAGCACAAUAUGGUUACUAAAGUAUGUUUAUUUGUAUAUUGUUUAACAUUUAAAUAUAUAUUUGUAAUAAAUAAAAAAAACUUUUGACUGACUAUUAUAUUUUCUUUAAAGUUGCAUCUUUUGUUCUUUUGGGUACUUUGUUACUAUAAUAAUACUUUAGUGUUAUUGGUUUAAAAAUGAAAUAAAACUUACUCUAGUCCUGCACCUCAAAGGCUUAUAGUCGGUACAAUAAAUGUUCUGUGUGUAGGGAUUUAGACAAUUUGUGCAAAACCUGGAUGAUGAAUCACGCAGGUAAGAGGCCCUGGAACAUGUUGCAUUCUCCUUAAAACCUAAUAAGUAAAAACAUAGCACUUAUAAGUAAGCAGUUUUUCAUAAUAAACUUUACCAUAGUGAAAUAAUGUAGAACAUUCAUUUCAAUUAAUACUUUCUUUGUGCUACAUUUGGUGUUUCCAUAUAGUUUGCACAGUAAUAUAGUAUGUAACAGUCUUUUAUAAUAAAGUUUACAAUAGUAAAAUAAUGUUAAUAAGUGAAAUAGUUUUAUAAUCAUUUCAACAAAUACUUUUUAUGUGCUACAUUUGGUGUUUCCAUAUAGUUUGCACAGUAAUAUAGUAUGUAAGCGGUCUUUUAUAAUAAAGUUUACUAUAGUAAAAUAAUGUUAAUAAGUGAAAUAGUUUUAUAAUCAUUUUUAAAUAAAACCUUCUAUGUGCUACAUUUGGUGUUUCCAUAUAGUUUGCAAAGUAAUGUAGUACGUUAUAAUUACCUUUU